CCUACGGGAGGCAGCAGUGAGGAAUAUUGGUCAAUGGGCGCGAGCCUGAACCAGCCAAGUCGCGUGAGGGAAGACGGCCCUAUGGAUUGUAAACCUCUUUUGUCGGGGAGCAAAAUACCCCACGCGUACCUUUCUGUGCGUACUCUAAGAAAAAGCAUCGGCUAACUCCGUGCCAGCAGCCGCGGUACUCCGGGGGAUGCGAGCGUUAUCGGGAUUUCUGGGGUUAAAGGGGUGCGCGUGUGGAUGGUCAAGUCGGUGGUAAAAUUGAGGGCCUCAACCUAGACUGGCCGUUGAAACUGGUUGGCUUGAGUGAGUGAGAGGUAGGCGGAAUUCGUGGUGUAGCGGUGAAAUGCAUAGAUAUCACGAAGAACUCCGAUUGCGAAGGCAGCAUAC
rnacentral:rRNA from 1 species